GCAGGCCUAAUACAUGCAAGUCGAGCGGUAACAGGGGAGCUUGCUCCCGCUGACGAGCGGCGGACGGGUGAGUAAAGUCUAGGAAUCUGCCCAGUAGUGGGGGACAACGCGGGGAAACUCGCGCUAAUACCGCAUACGCCCUACGGGGGAAAGGUGCUUUAUUGUACCGCUAUUGGAUGAGCCUAGAUCAGAUUAGCUAGUUGGUGGGGUAAAGGCCCACCAAGGCGACGAUCUGUAGCUGGUCUGAGAGGAUGAUCAGCCACACUGGGACUGAGACACGGCCCAGACUCCUACGGGAGGCAGCAGUGGGGAAUAUUGGACAAUGGGGGAAACCCUGAUCCAGCCAUGCCGCGUGUGUGAAGAAGGUCUUCGGAUUGUAAAGCACUUUAAGUUGGGAGGAAGGGGUGAAGUAAUGACUCACCUUUGACGUUACCAACAGAAUAAGCACCGGCUAACUUCGUGCCAGCAGCCGCGGUAAUACGAAGGGUGCAAGCGUUAAUCGGAAUUACUGGGCGUAAAGCGCGCGUAGGUGGUUUAUCAAGUUGGAUGUGAAAUCCCUGGGCUCAACCUAGGAACUGCAUCCAAAACUGAUUGACUAGAGUAUAGUAGAGGUUAGUGGAAUUUCCUGUGUAGCGGUGAAAUGCGUAGAUAUAGGAAGGAACACCAGUGGCGAAGGCGACUAACUGGACUAAUACUGACACUGAGGUGCGAAAGCGUGGGGAGCAAACAGGAUUAGAUACCC
rnacentral:rRNA from 1 species